AAACGAUGAAGAGUUUGAUCCUGGCUCAGGAUGAACGCUAGCGGCAGGCUUAACACAUGCAAGUCGAGGGGUAACAUAAGU
rnacentral:rRNA from 1 species